UCUCUUCUGUCAGUAUUUCAAUAUUUAUCACAUUUUGUGAUCUUAUGUUUUCCAUGGGCAGGUUCUAGCCACAACAUGUGAAGAGUUACCUCCAGAUGGGGUUCUUCUAAUAUAUCUAAAAGCAUCAGGUAAAAUUGGAGAAACUUUUCCUUUGCCAUCAAGUUCUGGAAUAACUUACAUGUACUCUCCUGAAAAUAGAGCUCUCAUGACGUGGAAUCUGAUGCACAACCUCUUGACAGCCCAACCUCUUCUGUCCACUACAAGGGAAAUCGGGAGAACAGAAAUUCAGGGUUCUUAUGGCUGGUUUCUCGUGGAAAUAAAGAUAU